rnacentral:rRNA from 1 species
GACGAACGCUGGCGGCGUGCUUAACACAUGCAAGUCGAACGGAAAGGCCCUGCUUUUGUGGGGUGCUCGAGUGGCGAACGGGUGAAUAACACGUGAGUAACCUGCCCUUGACUUUGGGAUAACUUCAGGAAACUGGGGCUAAUACCGGAUAGGAGCUCCUGCUGCAUGGUGGGGGUUGGAAAGUUUCGGCGGUUGGGGAUGGACUCGCGGCUUAUCAGCUUGUUGGUGGGGUAGUGGCUUACCAAGGCUUUGACGGGUAGCCGGCCUGGGAGGGUGACCGGCCACAUUGGGACUGAGAUACGGCCCGGACUCCUACGGGAGGCAGCAGUGGGGAAUAUUGCACAAUGGGCGGAAGCCUGAUGCAGCAACGCCGCGUGCGGGAUGACGGCCUUCGGGUGGGAAACCGCUUUCGCCUGUGACGAAGCGUGAGUGACGGUAAUGGGUAAAGAAGCACCGGCUAACUACGU